CCUACGGGAGGCAGCAGUGGGGAAUAUUGCACAAUGGGGGAAACCCUGAUGCAGCGACGCCGCGUGAGUGAAGAAGUAUUUCGGUAUGUAAAGCUCUAUCAGCAGGGAAGAAAAUGACGGUACCUGAUCAAGAAGCCCCGGCUAACUACGAGCCAGCAGCCGCGGUAAUACGUAGGGGGCAAGCGUUAUCCGGGUUCACUGGGGGUAAAGGGAGCGUAGACGGUAGCACAAGUCUGGUGUGAAAUGCCGGGGCUUAACCCCGGAACUGCAUUUGAAACUGUGCAGCUAGAGUGCAGGAGAGGUAAGUGGAAUUCCUAGUGUAGCGGUGAAAUGCGUAGAUCUUAGGAGGAACACCAGUGGCGAAGGCGGCUUACUGGACUGUAACUGACGUUGAGGCUCGAAAGCGUGGGGAGCAAACAGGAUUAGAUACCCGAGUAGUC
rnacentral:rRNA from 1 species